GCUGGGCGUGGUGACGGGCGCCUGUAAUCCCAGCUACUUGGGAGGCUGAGGCAGGAGAAUCACUUGAACCCGGGGGCAGAGGUUGCAGUGAGCCAAGAUCGCACCACUGCACUCCAGCCUGGGUGACAGAGUGAGACUCCGUCUCAA
ensembl:misc_RNA Metazoa_SRP Metazoan signal recognition particle RNA